AAUUUCAGCCUCUCUGCAGACGACUCUGACCAGGGAGAACCUGGAGCAACUUCUGACCACAGCACCUGCUCCAGAACAGCCAAGAUCUCAAGCCUACGCCACGCUGAAUGGCUCAACCGCCCACCCACAGCUCUGGUGCCAGGGCUCCAGUGUGACUUGGGCCAACAAAUUCCAGGUUUGCCCAGAUGUGACAAGGAGGAUCGAUCAGA